rnacentral:rRNA from 1 species
CCCGGUGAUUAUCGUGGAGAGGCCACACCCGUUCCCAUUCCGAACACGGAAGUUAAGCUCUCUAACGCCGAUGGUACUGCCUUUUGGUGGGAGAGUAGGUCGUCGCCGGGC